GGCUCAGGAUGAACGCUAGCGGGAGGCCUAACACAUGCAAGCCGAGCGGUAUUUGUCCUUCGGGACAGAGAGAGCGGCGUACGGGUGCGGAACACGUGUGCAACCUGCCUUUAUCUGGGGGAUAGCCUUUCGAAAGGAAGAUUAAUACCCCAUAAUAUAUCGAAUGGCAUCAUUCGAUAUUGAAAACUCCGGUGGAUAGAGAUGGGCACGCGCAAGAUUAGAUAGUUGGUGAGGUAACGGCUCACCAAGUCAGUGAUCUUUAGGGGGCCUGAGAGGGUGAUCCCCCACACUGGUACUGAGACACGGACCAGACUCCUACGGGAGGCAGCAGUGAGGAAUAUUGGACAAUGGGUGAGAGCCUGAUCCAGCCAUCCCGCGUGAAGGACUAAGGCCCUAUGGGUUGUAAACUUCUUUUAUACUGGGAUAAACCUACUUACGUGUAAAGUAGCUGAAGGUACAGUAUGAAUAAGCACCGGCUAACUCCGUGCCAGCAGCCGCGGUA
rnacentral:rRNA from 2 species